ensembl:lncRNA novel transcript
ACAUUCAAGUUUGACAGCAGUACAAUCAGUUUUCCAUUCAUCACUGGCCCUGUUUUAACCCUGCUGAAAAAGGGCCUAAUGUACGUGGCAGUGAUGGCAAUUAGGCAGAAAAGUAAUAUUAGAAACAGACAAAAGCCUGAGUCUUUUAGCAUUACAGGUGUUUUUUUUUUUUUUUAGCCCGUUCUAGACAUAAAGGAAUAGGCAGUGUUGUUAAGUUCCCUUCUUCAGUCUUCUCUUAAGCUGAAAGUCCAACGAUUUCAAGAUUCAAUUAAUUAGAGACAUGGAGAGCCAAAGUACAAGAUACCUGUACGGAGAACUUGGGAGGCAUUUUUAUAAGCUCAUUGUCAAGUGAAUGUUAAAGUCCCCAUUCACUGAGAAGCAAAGGGUGAAGAAGUGAGACCCUACAUGGCUUUUUAGUGCAUUGAUGGAGCAGAGACACGUCUAUGAACAACUGCCUAUGCAAACUGAUUACUCGGCAGUAUAAUUUAUCAGUUUGUAUGAGUAAGUGAGUGCUUCUCACUAUGGAUUUAGCUUGCACUUCAAUUUAGAACUAGAAGGAAUAAGUGGAAAUCAGGAGAAAUAUUAAAGACAUUCCAGUGUCACUGAGCAUGCCGAAACCUGAAAACAUGUAUUAAAAUAAACCGGUCCUUCUCAUUAACGAUGAAGUGCACCUGCUGAAGAGUCUCAGAACUAUCAGGAACACAAACAGGUGUGCACAAAAUGUAUGGCCUUUAAAAGAUACAUUUUAUGUAAAUGUGCAUCUCUUGCUCCAUGUGUCUUUAACACAGAUAAAACCCACAGGUCCUAUAUUUAACUCAGCUACAGAGUUGUUGGGUGUUCUCACAUAUAUCAGCUCCUCAAAGCUGAGGAUUAUUAUGCAAUCAUUAAAAAUAUAGUAUAUAAAACGAGGUGGAAUUGCUUCUUUUGGCAAGCAGAAUCAUUGGUAUACAUUUAAUAAUGCAUCUAUUUUAACAAUCUGUUAUUAAAACUUUGAUACUAGUCCUUUAACUAAUUUUGUCUUACAUCAAAUUUACCAUACAAGAUAAACUAUACCUGUAAUAUGUUUUUCAAAAUCACAUUUAAUUGUAAGAUCCCAAUCAACAAGUUGUUUAUCAUUACUAUGGACAUACGCACAUUCAGGAUUUUUCUGUGCUCUUGUUCUGCUUGUCUAUGAAUUACUGGAAAGUAACUAUUUUUAAAAAUGACAGAAGGAAGGAAAGAAAGAGAAAAGAAAUCUCACAAUUUUCCAAAAAAUGAAGUUGAAAGAACUCUCUGGAGACUUCAUUAUAAAUGGUUUUAGCACAAUUAUGCUAAAUGGAAUCGAUAUGUUUACAUUGUUUUAUUCAAGGUUUAUCACGUUCUAUUAUGAAACAAUGAAAUGCAAUUAAUAAAUCAUCAGUUCAUUUUUCUUGUUUUAUUUGAAAAUGCUUUGGCAUAUUUUAGCAUAUCAUUUUUAGAGUAGCAAAUAACUCUAAUGUAUAACAUUAAUAAACGGUGAUAGACUUUACUAUAAAUAUUGCAUCUGUUGCCAAGAAAAGUUACAUACAAAAACAGAGCAUUGCAAACAGCAGUUCAGUAAUUUUUCUUUUGGUAGUAGAGACAUGGGCCUUCUGUAUCAUUUUAAGUAUCUUUGCACUACUUGACCCUCUGCACUUGGAGAAUAUUGUUUUUUUUAUGCAUGAACAGUUUGCUGGGUUUAAGGGACUAACACCAUAUAUGUGGUGUUGUGAGAGCCCAGAUAACCAAAUUGAGCAGUUUUUUCUCUCCUUGUGUUUUAUUUGAGGGAGAAGAGUUGAGGAUUGAGGAAAAGCUGUGACAAACUUUUCGUGUGUGCAGUCAUAGCCAGAUAUUUUCACAAACAACAACUUCAAAAAAUCAAGGCAAUAGAAUAAAAUAUUAAGAUAGAACAUGAAAUAUAAACCACCAGUCCAAUGGUUUCCAUGGACUAAGUUAUUUUGGAUUAAAAAUGCUCAUUGUUCUUUAUUUGAAAAUAAAUAUUUAAGUAAUAAAAUAUGUAAGAACUCAAAAUAUAUUGUUUUCUGGUAUUGCUUGAUAUACCAAAGCAGAUACUAAUUAUAUUUAAUUGGGAUUUUUAUGCAACUGUGUGACUGUACUCUGAAUUUCACAUAGUUUUAAAUUCUGAUUUGCAUAUUCUAUAUUAAUUCAAAGGAAGCUUGAGACAUCGUAAAGCACACAAAAUGCUGUAAAAUCAGAAAACAGAUCAACUACCAUUAUUUUUAAACUUCUUCCUUCUUUUAUAUCAAGCUUCAUGAGAAAUGUAGCAAAAGAUUGGAAUUUCUUUUUCUACGUAAGGGGAUAAAAUAUUUUAUAUGUAGUUUAACUUAAAUACAAAAACAGGACUUUUAUCUCUAAAUGCUAUUUCUAUUGACUUGAGAUAUUUAGGUUGACUUCUAAUACUACAUAUUCUUUCAUUUGUGCCUACCCAAUUCCUGAUACAACCAGACAAUAGGACACAGAAAAUAGAUGACAUGGAAUUGGUAACUGUAAAGGGGUGAAAUAGAUGAGGUCUCUGAACCUUGUAGAAUAAGAAGUUGCCCAUCUCAUAUGUUAUGAAAUUUUUGGAAGUCCUCCUGCACUCUCUACCUUCUAGUAAAACAUGUUCCCUUCAUACUGGCCUGCUUUCCCGAAGGCCUUAAAUUCCCAUUAGAGAAUCAUUUUUUUCAGAGCAGGACUUUUCUACCUCUCUUCAAAAUACAAAUACUAUUUUUUAAAAGAACGUAUUAGCUGAAUAGUAAUUAAAACUCAAUUUAUAUCUUCAAAUAUGAACAAGUCAGUAAGCUUCAGCUCAGCCAUAGAUAUGACUGGUAAGUCAACGGGAGGGGAAUUCUGUGCAAGGGUUCCUGCCCAAAGAGGAGUAGCCUCAGUGGAGUGCUGGGGCAGAGACAUCUUAAUAUGGAACAUGGACAAAGUAAGAAUAAGUUCCAAGAAAUUUUCAUUCACACUUACCAAUUCCAACCACAUCCAGUUUUUUAUUCUCCUUUGGUUGUAUGUUUUUUGCCCUCCAAUCUACUUCAAAAAAAGUAGAAAAUAAGAUUUAAAGCAAAUAUUUUCCUUUGAAAUAUUUUUGAUCAACCAUCUUAAAAUUGUUCCAUCUUUUCACUGGCAAACUUUGAUACUGAAUGAUCAGUGUUCAUUAUCUCCAUUUUACUGAUGUUCAUUAUCUUUUAACACUUUUGAUCAUUUUUCAGACUCCAUCACAUUCACUGAAACUUCUAUGUUGAAGAGUUUUUGUCACAAAAAAUGUUCUUUUUCUGACUUUACUUAUUCAUUUCUGUUUAUAAUUUAAAACUUUAAAAUUUAUUCUUGGGGUUCAUUUUCAGUAGGUUGAGUAAGUAAUACCCCUUAACUCGUGGCAUAUUGUCAUCAUUACCGAUACA